UAAUAGCUCACUGGUCGAGUCGGCCUGCGCGGAAGAUGUAACGGGGCUAAACCAUGCACCGAAGCUGCGGCAGCGACGCUUAUGCGUUGUUGGGUAGGGGAGCGUUCUGUAAGCCGUUGAAGGUGGCCUGUGAGGGUUGCUGGAGGUAUCAGAAGUGCGAAUGCUGACAUAAGUAACGAUAAAGCGGGUGAAAAGCCCGCUCGCCGGAAGACCAAGGGUUCCUGUCCAACGUUAAUCGGGGCAGGGUGAGUCGACCCCUAAGGCGAGGCCGAAAGGCGUAGUCGAUGGGAAACAGGUUAAUAUUCCUGUACUUGGUGUUACUGCGAAGGGGGGACGGAGAAGGCUAUGUUAGCCGGGCGACGGUUGUCCCGGUUUAAGCAUGUAGGCGGAGGUUCCAGGUAAAUCCGGUACCUUUUAACGCUGAGGUGUGAUGACGAGGCACUACGGUGCUGAAGUAACAAAUGCCCUGCUUCCAGGAAAAGCCUCUAAGCAUCAGGUAACAUCAAAUCGUACCCCAAACCGACACAGGUGGUCAGGUAGAGAAUACCAAGGCGCUUGAGAGAACUCGGGUGAAGGAACUAGGCAAAAUGGUGCCGUAACUUCGGGAGAAGGCACGCUGAUAUGUAGGUGAAGCCCCUGCGGGUGGAGCUGAAAUCAGUCGAAGAUACCAGCUGGCUGCAACUGUUUAUUAAAAACACAGCACUGUGCAAACACGAAAGUGGACGUAUACGGUGUGACGCCUGCCCGGUGCCGGAAGGUUAAUUGAUGGGGUUAGCGG
rnacentral:rRNA from 1 species